rfam:Asian citrus Psyllid, Diaphorina citri - Florida Strain, whole genome shotgun sequence.
UGGCGUAGUGGUCACUGCACUCGCCUUGCACGCGGGAGACCCGGGUUCGAUUCCCGG